rnacentral:lncRNA from 1 species
UUAAGGCUCCAAUCCCUGAGUUGAUCCUUUUUAGACAUAGAGCAUCCAUUCCCUAGUCGCCUUUUACCAACAUUAGGGCUCCAAUCCCUGAGUUGAGCUUUCUAGACAUAGGGCCUCCAUUCCCUAGUCGCCCUUUGCCAACAUUAGGGCUCCAAUCCCUAAGUUUAGCCUUUUUAAACAUAGGGCCUCCAUUCCCUAGUCGCCUUUUGCCAACAUUAGGGCUCCAAUCCCUGAGUUGAGCUUUUUAGAUAUAGGGCCUCCAUUCCCUAGUCGCCUUUUGCCAACAUUAGGGCUCCAAUCCCUAAGUUGAGCCUUUUUAGACAUAGGGCCUCUAUUCCCUAGUCGCAUUUUGCCAACAUUAGGGCUCCAAUCCCUGAGUUGAGCUUUUUAGACAUAGGGCCUCCAUUCCCUAGUAGCCUUUUUCCAACAUUAGGGCUCCAAUCCCUGAGUUGAGUUUUAAACAUAGGGCCUCCAUUCCCUAGUCGCCUUUUGCCAACAUUAAGGCUCCAUUCCCUGAGUUGAGCCUUUUUAGAACCUCCAUUCCCUAAUUGCCAACAUUAUGGCUCCUGUACCUGAGUUGAGCCUUUUAGACAUAGGGCCUCCAUUCCCUAGUCGCCUUAUCUGCCAACAUUAGGGCUCCAAUCCCUGAGUUGAGCCUUAUAAACAUAGGGCCUCCAUUCCCUAGUCACCUUUUGCCAACAUUAAGGCUCCAAUCCCUGCGUUGAGCCUUUUUAGACAUGGGGCCUCUAUUCCCUAGUCUCAUUUUCUGCCAACAUUACGGUUUCAAUCCCUGAGUUGAGCCUUUUAGACAUAGGGCCUCCAUUCCCUAGUCGCCUUUUGCCAACAUUAGGGCUCCAAUCUUUGAGUUGAGCCUUUAUAGACAUAGGGCCUCCAUUCCCUUGUCGCCCUUUGCCAACAUUAGUGCUCCAAUCCCUAAGUUGAGCCUUUUAGACAUAGGGACUCCAUUCCCUAGUUGUCUUUUGCCAUCAUUAGGGCUCCAAUCUUUGCGUUGAGCCUUUUUAGACAUAGGGCCUCCAUUCCCUUGUCGCCCUUUGCCAACAUUAGGGCUCCAAUCCCUGCGUUGAGCAUUUUAAACAUAGGGCCUCCAUUCCCUAGUCGCCUUUUGCCAACAUUAGGGCUCCAAUCCCUGGGUUGAGCCUUAUUAGACAUAGGGCCUCCAUUCCCUAGUCGCCUUUUGCCAACAUUAGGGCUCCAAUUCCUGAGUUGAGAUUUUUAGACAUAGAGCCUCCAUUCCCUAGUCGUCUUCUUUUGCCAACAUUAGGGCUCCAAUCUCUGAGUUGAGAUUUUUUAGACAUAGGGCCUCCAUUCCCUAGUCGCCUUUUCUUUGCCAACAUUAGGGCUCCAAUCCCUGAGUUGAGAUUUUAGACAUAGGGCCUCCAUUCCCUAGUCGCCUUUCUUGCCAACAUAGGGCCUCCAUGCCUCCAUUCCCUAGUCGCCUUUCUUGCCAACAUAGGACCUCCAUUCCCUAGUUGAGAAUUUUAGAUAUGGGGCUCCAU